rnacentral:rRNA from 1 species
GCGCACCAGUCGAGAAAACUCUGCAAUGCGCGAAAGCGCGACAGGGUUACCCCGAGUGUCGUCCGCUGAGGACGACUUUUCCCCAGUGUAGAUAGCUGGGGGAAUAAGGAGAGGGCAAGUCUGGUGUCAGCCGCCGCGGUAAUACCAGCUCUCCGAGUGGUGGGGACGCUUAUUGGGCCUAAAGCAUCCGUAGCCGGUCUAACAAGUCCCUUGUUAAAUCCAGCGAUUCAAUCGCUGGACUGCAAGGGAUACUGUUAGACUAGGGGGCGGGAGAGGCCGACGGUAUUCCCGGGGUAGGGGUGAAAAUCCUAUAAUCCCGGGAGGACCACCAGUGGCGAAGGCUGUCGGCUAGAACGCGCCCGACGGUGAGGGAUGAAAGCUGGGGGAGCGAACCGGAUUAGAUACCCCUGUAGU